rnacentral:snRNA from 1 species
UUGCUUCAGCAGCACAUAUACUAAAAUUGGAACGAUACAGAGAAGAUUAGGAUGGCCCCUGUGCAAGGAUGACGUGCACAUUCGUGAAAUGUUCUCAAUGGGU